rnacentral:rRNA from 1 species
ACACGCAUGACACACUGCAUAUCAAUAAGCGGAGGAAAAGAAACUAACAAGGAUUCCCUUAGUAACGGCGAGUGAAGCGGGAAGAGCUCAAAUUUGAAAUCUUCAAGGUUUUACCUUGACGAAUUGUAGUUUAAAGAAGUGUUUUCUGUUGAAGUUUUGGUAAAAGUUCUUUGGAAUAGGACAUCAUAGAGGGUGAGAAUCCCGUAUUUGACCAUUAUUUUCAACUGUGUGAUACACUUUCAAAGAGUCGGAUUGUUUGGGAAUGCAGUCCAAAAUGGGUGGUAAAUUUCAUCUAAAGCUAAAUAUUGGCGAGAGACCGAUAGCGAACAAGUACCGUGAGGGAAAGAUGAAAAGAACUUUGAAAAGAGAGUUAAACAGUACGUGAAAUUGUCAAAAGGGAAGCGUUUGACACCAGUGUUGUUUUCUCGAAAAUCAAUUAAAAAUGAUGGGAUUUUGUGUUGUAUUGACUUUAUCAGCUUUCUGCACUUUUUUCUUAUCUUUUUUAAUGCACUUUUCGUUUAACAAGUCAACAUCAAUUUCUUUUGUUGUAAAAGAGUCAUUGGAAGGUGGCUUUUUCUUCGGAAAAAGUGUUUAUAGCCUUUGGCUUCUGCAAUCGGAGAGAUUGAGGUCUGCAGCGUAGAUCCUUCGGGGUUAGAUACAUUUGUGCUAAGCUAUAGUUCUUUAUAGACAACUUGUUGACUAUAAUCAAUCCUGUAACUUACUCGCUUAUGCUAUUUUACCUACGCUUAGGAUGUUGAAGAUAUGCGCGACAC